UACGUAGGUGGCAAGCGUUGUCCGGAUUUAUUGGGUUUAAAGGGUGCGUAGGCGGCUAUCUAAGUCAGUGGUGAAAUAUCUCAGCUUAACUGAGAGGGUGCCAUUGAUACUGGAUAGCUUGAGUACAGAUGAGGUAGGCGGAAUUGACGGUGUAGCGGUGAAAUGCAUAGAUAUCGUCAAGAACACCGAUAGCGAAGGCAGCUUACCAAGCUGUAACUGACGCUGAGGCACGAAAGUGUGGGGAUCAAACAGG
rnacentral:rRNA from 2 species